rnacentral:lncRNA from 1 species
GGCUGCUGCCUUCCCUUUCCGUGCUGUGCGUAGCCUCCUCUUCUCUGACCGCUACCCCGCACCCCCUCUCAUUUCCUCCCUACUUUCCAUGGGGUCUCACUUUAUUUGGAUGACUUUCUGGGGAAGUUGGGUGGGUACCCAAAAACAGAGGCAUUUUCAGCAUGGAAAAAGCCCUUAAAACUAACACUUCAGUUCAUUUGAAUAAAAAAAUCCCCAAAGAUAUCAAAGGCUCUGAAAUGAUAUCAUCUACCUAAAUAUGACGCUUAGAAAAUCUGUGGGGAUGAUGCCUAGAAGCCCUCUAGAAACGCCGCUGUGGACAAGGGCACCCCAACUGUACUAGUGAAAAGUCAGCACAAAAGUAGAUUAACGAGCAAGAGAGUGAGGAAUUAAUGCCUUUCUUGCUAUGUUUCACAGCACACUUAAUUGCCCUUCAAAUUCUUCCUUCACAGCCAUCAGCCUGUAAGCUGGAUCUGGGAGGCUUUGUUUCUGGAGACUUCUGCUUUCUUUGGAAGGCAGGCUCAAACCUGAUCCUCUAUACAACGGUCCCGAGUUAAAUCUGGCCAGUCUGAAAAGCCAGCCAUGCUGGCGAGUGCAUGAAAAUCCUGCUUCAAAGGCAGAGAGCCGGGCUCCACGCGACAUUCCGCACCUUCCUCAGGGUGGCUUCUCCUUCUCCCUGGCCUCGUACCCUAGAACUUAAAGU